rnacentral:sRNA from 1 species
CUCCUCCGCCCCGGUGCGGGCCGUGCUGGAUUUCUCCGAGUAUAAUGAUGUAAGGAUGGCGGGCAGCAGGGGCGGGGGGGGGGGGUCCCAGUGGGCGCAGUCCCUUGACACUUCCGGAUACCUUCCUCUGCGGUCCGCCCACAGGUGGUAUCCAGAAGCCUAAUGAGCACCGCGAUCGGCGGGUCCCUGGAGGGGACACAGACCCCUGGCAUGUGCUAAGUGUAACACAGGCUUUAGGAUCCUCAGAAUCAACUCUUCUUAUCCGCACUGGCUCCCACUGCUUGGACAUGGCACCUGAGAGGCCCUCAGACUCCCCCAGCCUCCGCCUAGGGCGCCAGAACAUCUUCCAGCAGCUACAGACCUGGCUCAAGCUGGCAAAGGAGAGCCAGAUUAAGGGUGAAGUCUGAAUCUCAUACCCUUUCCACUCCCUGUAUGGUCACCUCAGUCUUGGACAUACUUGUUCACUGAACAAAAGAAAGCAGCUUGUUUUGAAAGAAGAAACUCCCAGGAAUUGGAAUUCAGCACCUGUUCCGCGUGUAACUGGCAUGUGUCUGCAAACAUCUUUAUUCCCAACUUAAAGUGCUUUAUUGCAGAGAGUUAUGGAAAUAUAAGUGGAUGAUUAUUCUCAUUGUAAAUAUUGGUAUUUUGAAUGUUAAAUGUCAAACAAAUGUGACUUAUGCUGGUGCCCUCCCCCUGCUGAUCAGAUUCUGGUUCAAAUUCUGCCACUCCACCUCCUGGGUUAGGGGCUUUGCUGUAAGUUUCUUUUUCUGGACUUUAGAUCCUGAACCUGUCCUUGCUUCUCAGUUUCUCUCACUGUACCCCUUUCCCUCAGUCUCUUCCUCUCUCUUUCCCCUGUCACUAUUUGUCUUUCUAAUCUCCUUCUGUUUCUCUGAAUAUCUUCAUUUCUAUCUC